GACCACCACCACAACCACAACCACAACCACGACCAUGACAACGACAACGACAACGACAACGACAACAACAACCACAACAACAACAACAACAACAACAACAACAACAACAACAACAACAACGACAACAACAACAACCACAACAACCACAACCACAACAACAACAACAACAACAACAACCACCACCACAACAACAACAACCACAACCACGACCACGACCACGACAACGACAACAACAAAAACCACAACAACCACAACCACAACAACAACAACAACAACAACCACAACCACAAUCACGACCACGACCACGACCACAACGACAACCACACGACCACGACCAGGACCACGACAACGACCACGACCACAACAAUAACCACCACCACCACAACAAUAACAACAACCACAACAACC
rnacentral:lncRNA from 1 species